rnacentral:rRNA from 1 species
UACGUAGGUGGCAAGCGAUACUCGGAAUCACUAGGCGUAAAGCGCAGGUAGGCGGUUUGGUAAGUCUUUUGUGAAAGCUCCCGGCUCAACUGGGAGAGGUCAAAGGAAACUACCAGACUAGAGUGUGGUAGGGGAUACUGGAAUUCCUGGUGUAGCGGUGAAAUGCGUAGAUAUCAGGAGGAAUACCUAUGGCGAAAGCAGGUAUCUGGGCCAUCACUGACGCUGAGCUGCGAAAGCUAGGGGAGCAAACAGG